rnacentral:rRNA from 1 species
GUGGGGAAUCUUGUGCAAUGGGCGCAAGCCUGACACAGCAACGCCGCGUGCGGGAAGAAGGCCUUCGGGUCGUAAACCGCUUUCAGCAGGAACGAAAAUGACGGUACCUGCAGAAGAAGGUGCGGCCAACUACGUGCCAGCAGCCGCGGUGACACGUAGGCACCAAGCGUUGUCCGGAUUUAUUGGGCGUAAAGAGCUCGUAGGCGGUUCAGCAAGUCGGGUGUGAAAACUCUGGGCUUAACCCAGAGCCUGCACCCGAAACUGCUGUGACUAGAGUUCGGUAGGGGAGCGGGGAAUUCCUAGUGUAGCGGUGAAAUGCGCAGAUAUUAGGAGGAACACCGGUGGCGAAGGCGCCGCUCUGGGCCGAAACUGACGCUGAGGAGCGAAAGCGUGGGUAGCAAACAGGAUUAGAAACCCUGGUAGUCC